rnacentral:lncRNA from 1 species
GUUCUGUGGUUUAGAUUGUGACUUAUUCGAUGGUUAGAAGAAUCCUGUUCUGGUGAUUGGGGAUUUGAUAGUUGAACGCUGUCCUGGUGAUUUGACAUAGGUGACGAGUCACGUUGACAAGAUGCGUCGGAUCGUUGGAAGAGAGACACAACAGUCUUGUCGCUUCGGUUAUUUUUUAAUGUCUUGCAAUCCGUGGAAUAUCCCUAACUUCGCCUGUAGAUGGCGAGGACAUCGCAUUCCUACAGGUAGCAAGACAAGAGUUUUGCUAUCGGCCGGUCCUUCUCGUCGUCUUUUAUCGCCGUACGAUAUGGCUGAGUUAACGAUUUUAAAUAUCUGCAACUACGGGAGGCACUAUUGUAGUUGUUAUAGGUUCUUGGUUGUUAUUGAAAUUGUCAGAAGGAGG